GCCCUCGGUGGCUCACAUGGGUAGAGCGUCUGCCAUUUAAGCAGACGAUCCCGGGUUCAAGUCCCGGUCGGGGCA